UAACAUGGUGCGAAAGUCUGCAGCUU
rnacentral:piRNA from 1 species